ACACAGGGAAGGAGGUGGUCCGGAAAUUGAUUGAUCCAUGGACUUGUGAGGUGACUGCGCGCUAGCAGCUGCGCAUGCGAGGAAUCACCUGCGCGCGCCGGCGAAUUCCCCGCAGUCACCCGGCCCCCGAGCCCCUUGGUCCGUCCAACCAGGGAACCAACGGCUCGGGGGCCGCUCCAU
rnacentral:sRNA from 1 species